UGGUCUGUCUGGGCUAUCCCGCAGGCCGCUCGGGCGACUGUCAGGUCCGCGUCAGUCUCACCCUGUGGCCUUCAAGGAUACGCUCGCUCAGAGAAGUCUCCAAGAUGAACAUCUCCUUGCAGGCCUUUUAAUCACGCGGCCGCGCUUGCUGGAGGCUUGAUUUUUGCAGUCCUCGGUGGCCUUCGCUUCUGCUCGCCCCACUUCACAUCCAGGCGUCGAGAUUCAGGCUCUGCUUCCCCUCACCCCUCCUCCACUCCCUGAAGAGCACUGCCAAAACUGAGGAUACCUAUGGUCCUGGUGGAGCCUGCCUGACCCAUGUUGAACCAAGCAGUUGGGUGACUGCCAGGACAACUUACUGCAUUUCAGAGGUGAGAAGCCCAAAGAGAAUCCAGCUGAUCCCAGAGAAAGAUCCAGGAUUCUUGGGAUUUGAGGGACUAGAAUUU
rnacentral:lncRNA from 1 species